UGUGUGUGUGUGUGUGUGUGUGUGUUAAGCUUAUGUUGACAAGACCAGUGGCAUGGGUUAGACAGCCAGUUUCUGCAUGAAAGAUGUCAAAGGUUAGGACUGCCCUUAGUUCCCCACCCAGGACAUUGGAUUGCCGAGAUCAUAACUGAAUGAUGGCCUUUUUUAAAUGAUAACUAAUGUGGUAUAUAAUAUAUUAAUUAAUUACUGAAUGACCUUCCUAUUACAAACCACUAUUAUUGUUGCAUUUUACGUGGUCUACUUUUGAUCCUGGAGUUGUAUAGAAGACUGUUCACCCAUAUUUAUCUUAAAAAGGACCCUGAAAAACCUAUCAAAGCUGUAAAAAUUGAAAUCCAAGUUGGUAUUUCUUUUAUUGAAGAAAGCCAAUUGCACUUGCUUGGCAAGAACUUUCAGGUUAUGCAUUCUUAAUGCCAAAAUAAUGUAGUUAUAUUCUUAUAUUCCUGCUUAUUUUUUUGAGACCCUAGGUUUUUAUUCUUCAUGUUUUUUAUGGUUUUAUAACAAGCACAUUUACUUCCAUAUUGCGAACUCUACAAUAGCCGUACCUUUAACAUAGCAUAACAAAACAAACUUGUUUCACCACUUUGAACUUUCAACGUAAGACAAAAUUACUUACCAUUAGGUUCGGUAGAACCAUCCCGAAUCAAACAAUUUCGGCCAUUCCAAGCCGUAAUCGGUAUAACAAAAAUGAGAUUCAUUGCCAGAGCUAGAGAUAAAAGCAUAAAAAAAAAGAGAACAGAAAGAAGGGCUGUGGGGGGGUCGGAUGGAGGAAUGGAGCCUCCAUGCUGAUUGCUUGUGUAGUUAACAGGCCAGGAUAAACUUUAAUAAACUCGGAAUGGCUUGCAUCACAACCACUUCAUCUCAAGCCAGUUGGAACUUACCAGACUCAUCAACCUACCAUCUCAAAUGGUUCCUUGUAGCUGAGUGCAAGUUUUUAAAUCUACACUCUUCAGACCUCCAGAAAAUGGAGCAGAAAGGAAAACGUCAGAGAGCAUUCAAGUCACAUGAACUGAAGUUAAGGAAACUAAUUUGAAAUGAACAUGCAUGCCUACCUUCAUUGACACCACCAGGCAUCCUGGAGACAUGGAGAUC
rnacentral:lncRNA from 1 species